rnacentral:rRNA from 1 species
GAGUUUGAUCAUGGCUCAGAUUGAACGCUGGCGGCAGGCCUAACACAUGCAAGUCGAGCGGAUGACGGGAGCUUGCUCCUUGAUUCAGCGGCGGACGGGUGAGUAAUGCCUGGGAAUCUGCCUGGUAGUGGGGGACAACGUUUCGAAAGGAACGCUAAUACCGCAUACGUCCUACGGGAGAAAGCAGGGGACCUUCGGGCCUUGCGCUAUCAGAUGAGCCUAGGUCGGAUUAGCUAGUUGGUGGGGUAAUGGCUCGACCAAGGCGACGAUCCGUAACUGGUCUGAGAGGAUGAUCAGUCACACUGGAACUGAGACACGGUCCAGACUCCUACGGGAGGCAGCAGUGGGGAAUAUUGGACAAUGGGCGAAAGCCUGAUCCAGCCAUGCCGCGUGUGAAGAAGGUCUUCGGGAUUGUAAAGCACUUUAAGUUGGGAGGAAGGGCAGUAAGUUAAGUACCUUGCUGUUUUGACGUUACCGACAGAUAAGCACCGGCUAACUCUAGUG